CCUAGGGGUGGCAGCAGUGGGGAAUAUUGGACAAUGGGCGAAAGCCUGAUCCAGCCAUGCCGCGUGUGUGAAGAAGGCCUUCGGGUUGUAAAGCACUUUCAGUGGGGAAGAAAGCCUUGGGGCUAAUACCCUCGAGGAAGGACAUCACCCACAGAAGAAGCACCGGCUAACUCCGUGCCAGCAGCCGCGGUAAUACGGAGGGUGCGAGCGUUAAUCGGAAUUACUGGGCGUAAAGCGCGCGUAGGCGGUCUGAUAAGCCGGUUGUGAAAGCCCCGGGCUCAACCUGGGAACGGCAUCCGGAACUGUCAGGCUAGAGUGCAGGAGAGGAAGGUAGAAUUCCCGGUGUAGCGGUGAAAUGCGUAGAGAUCGGGAGGAAUACCAGUGGCGAAGGCGGCCUUCUGGACUGACACUGACGCUGAUGUGCGAAAGCGUGGGUAGCAAACAGGAUUAGAUACCCUGGUAGUC
rnacentral:rRNA from 1 species